CUCCGGCAGACCCUCCCUCCCAGACCCUCCUACUGCUGUCCAGGAGGUGGGAGGGUCUGGGAGGGAGGGUCUGCCGGAG